UCAUUUGGAUUCGCCAUCAUACGCCCAACCGUGCAUUUGAUAUGCAUAUAUAUGCAUCACGAUCCACGGUAGGGCCGUAUGAUGGCUAUACCGAUUGG
rnacentral:pre_miRNA from 1 species